AUGCAUAAUGGUUUACUCGCUACUCUGCGGAAUCGCCUAACCAAUGUGGCUUCUGCCGAGCUUGCGUCUGUUUUGUCUUUGUUGCAGGAUGUUACCACAAGCAAUGCGCCCGACGACAGGUUCCUCAUCCACGGCUCCUCGUUCACCUCGAGGUGCGCCUACUCUUUGCUCUCCUCCGGCCAUGAGCUUGACCUCAACGCUGGGCACAUUUGGGGAUCCAAGGCACCAAUCAAGGUGAGGAUCUUCGGCUGGCUCCUCUGUCGUGACAGGCUAAGCACGAUGGCGAACUUACAUCGCAAGACCAUUACCUCGGGAUCGUCUUGCCCUCGAUGUGACUUGUCUUCUGAGGAUGCGGCGCACCUCGCUCUACUCUGCCCAUGCACGGGCCAGGUCUGGUCCAUACUGGGACUCCAGGCCCCUAACCGCAUCGACCUCAUCUGGGAUACUCCUACUCCGGUAGGCCUCCACAUCAACAUUUGGCCUACUGUCGCCCUUGUCGUCCUCUGGAAGCUCUGGGAUUCCAAAAACGCUCGUGUGUUCCAUAACGAGAUACACUCCCCCCUAAAUACUAUUCGGAACAUUAUCUCCGAUUUCACGCUUUGGUCCUUCAGAUUUAAGGACCACGUUAGUAGGGAGGCUGCCGUGUCUUGGCGCAUGUACCUCUCCUCUCGCUGUAAUCUAUAA
rnacentral:rRNA from 1 species